AAGUUUGAUCCUGGCUCAGAGUGAACGCUGGCGGCAGGCCUAAUACAUGCAAGUCGAACGGCAGCACAGCAGAGCUUGCUCUGUGGGUGGCGAGUGGCGGACGGGUGAGGAAUACGUGGGAAUCUGCCCAGUCGUGGGGGAUAACGUAGGGAAACUUUCGCUAAUACCGCAUGCGCCCUUCGGGGGAAAGCCGGGGACCUUCGGGCCUGGCGCGAUUGGAUGAGCCCACGUCGGAUUAGCUAGUUGGCGGGUAAAGGCCCACCAAGGCGACGAUCCGUAGCUGGUCUGAGAGGAUGAUCAGCCACACUGGAACUGAGACACGGUCCAGACUCCUACGGGAGGCAGCAGUAGGGAAUAUUGGACAAUGGGCGCAAGCCUGAUCCAGCCAUGCCGCGUGAGUGAAGAAGGCCCUCGGGUUGUAAAGCUCUUUUGUCCGGAAAGAAAAGCGCCGGGUUAAUACCCUGGUGUCCUGACGGUACCGGAAGAAUAAGCACCGGCUAACUUCGUG
rnacentral:rRNA from 1 species